CCUACGGGUGGCUGCAGUAAGGAAUAUUGGUCAAUGGACGGAAGUCUGAACCAGCCAUCCCGCGUGCAGGAAGAAGGUCCUAUGGAUUGUAAACUGCUUUUAGCAGAGACGAAACGCCUUCAUUUAUGGGGGUUUGACGGUAUCUGCAGAAUAAGCACCGGCUAACUCCGUGCCAGCAGCCGCGGUAAUACGGAGGGUGCAGGAGUUAUCCGGAAUCACGGGGGCGAAGGGGUGCGAUUAAGGGGGAUUAGAAAGCCUGUAGCUUAACUACAGAAUUGCCAUUGAUACUGAUUUUCUUGAAUUGGGUUGAGGUUAGCGGAAUGUGACAUGUAACGGUGAAAUGUUUAGAUAUGUCAUGGAACACCGAUUGCGAAGGCAGCUAGCUGGGCCUUGAUUGACGCUGAGGCACGAAAGCGUGGGUAGCGAACAGGAUUAGAUACCCGUGUAGUC
rnacentral:rRNA from 1 species